UGGGGAAUAUUGCACAAUGGGCGCAAGCCUGAUGCAGCCAUGCCGCGUGUAUGAAGAAGGCCUUCGGGUUGUAAGUACUUUCAGUCGGGAGGAAGGUGUCAAGGUUAAUAACCUUGGCAAUUGACGUUACCGACAGAAGAAGCACCGGCUAACUCCGUGCCAGCAGCCGCGGUAAUACGGAGGGUGCAAGCGUUAAUCGGAAUUACUGGGCGUAAAGCGCACGCAGGCGGUCUGUCAAGUCGGAUGUGAAAUCCCCGGGCUCAACCUGGGAACUGCAUUCGAAACUGGCAGGCUAGAGUCUUGUAGAGGGGGGUAGAAUUCCAGGUGUAGCGGUGAAAUGCGUAGAGAUCUGGAGGAAUACCGGUGGCGAAGGCGGCCCCCUGGACAAAGACUGACGCUCAGGUGCGAAAGCGUGGGGAGCAAACAGG
rnacentral:rRNA from 1 species